rnacentral:lncRNA from 1 species
UAUAUAGGUUUAUGGGUGUGUGUGUUCAUGAAGGUCAGCUCCAUGCUUUAACAGAGUACAUUAAUGGAGGAGCUCUAUAUCAAGUGUUGGCAAACAAAGAAAUAGAACUACCAUGGAAAACACGUAUAAAUUUGGCGCUGGACAUUUCUAAUGGCAUGCGUUAUUUUCACACGAGAGGGGUUUUCCAUCGAGAUUUAACAUCAAAGAAUAUUUACAGUUCUGAAUAGGAACACAACUACCCAAUGAGUGAAGGUUACCAGCACCAGUAUCUCUUUUAAGCUUGAGUACUAUGUAAUUGGACUGUUGUG